CUUUUCCGUCUCUUGUCCCAUGUGGGUUUCCCGUCUGGGUCUCCGUACCGUGUGAGAUCCCAUUACUUUGCUUGGAGCAUACAGUUGGAGCGAAAUAAAAGGAAGAAGUGUGAAGCCAUAUUGAAAACGGGGGCGGAUGGGAUGCCUGUAAUCAGCGGGGUGGCCCAUAUUGUGUGGAGGUGUUUACCGGUUCGGUCAGGUGCGUGUUAUUAAGGUUCGGGCUUAUCGUCUCAAUUUGAACUGCACUUGGGUUGGGCCUCUGUGGGGAUAGGCGUGGGUGAGAGCGCGCGUAUUGGGAUGGAGUUACUCCUAAGGAGUGGUGUCAAUACUCCCACCAUUUUUCCAGUUACCCACUGUAAGUGGG